AUUGAACACUGGCGGCAUGCCUUAUACAUGCAAGUCGAACGGCAGCACGGGAGCUUGCUCCUGGUGGCGAGUGGCGAACGGGUGAGUAAUAUAUCGGAACGUGCCCAGUAGUGGGGGAUAGCCCGGCGAAAGCCGGAUUAAUACCGCAUACGAUCUACGGAUGAAAGCGGGGGAUCGCAAGACCUCGCGCUAUUGGAGCGGCCGAUAUCUGAUUAGCUAGUUGGUGAGGUAAAGGCUCACCAAGGCGACGAUCAGUAGCUGGUCUGAGAGGACGACCAGCCACACUGGAACGGAGAGACGGUCCAGACUCCUACGGGGGGCAGCAGUGGGGAAUUUUGGACAAUGGGGGAAACCCUGAUCCAGCAAUGCCGCGUGAGUGAAGAAGGCCUUCGGGUUGUAAAGCUCUUUUGUCAGGGAAGAAACGGUUCUGGCUAAUAUCCAGAGCUAAUGACGGUACCUGAAGAAUAAGCACCGGCUAACUACGUGCCAGCCGCCGCCGUAA
rnacentral:rRNA from 1 species